GCGCAUCGCUCAGUGUACGUCGAGACGUCACCGCGGCAGGGUGGUCAAGUGCAUGGAUCGAAGAAAUUGCCGCGCGUGUGUGAAAACAAUCAAAAGAGAGGGAAGCAGGAACAAAGAAAGAGAGUUGUCUUCCUCCGGCAGGUACUGUGUUGUGCACCGAACACGUGUGAGUGUGCGUCUUGUCUUUGGUGAUCUAGAAAACGUGCCGAACGUUCGGGUGAUUCCUGCAAUGUCACGAAAUUAAAUCUGACAGGAAGAAAACCAAGUUUCUUUCAAGCAUUCAACUUCAUCUCUGAACUUGCAACUUUGAAAAUAUAUUUAUGCACCACGUGCUGUUUUCUGCAUCUAAAAAUUCAUAAUUGACAAUACCAAAGAGUCUGAAGUAGCAUGCCAAAUCAAACAUGGAUUAUAAAGAAUAUCAUUAUCCUUCUUCUUGUUGGGACGUUGAAGUCCGGUAUUGGAAAUCCCAUCAGAGACAGGUCGAAAAGAGAAGCGGAAAUAAUGGCAACCAACUGGACGCAACUUGCCGACGAAUGGUUCGCUGCCAGAGCAAGAGUCGCAGAAAGAUUCGAUGUUACUGUUCUGCCUCUGACUGAUAAACUCAGAGAUCUACCACCAACCGCUGAGACUGUGGUCAUUAAUGGCACCAGUCCUGAACAACUUACACGGUAUAAUUAUUCAAGAAUGCUAUGGGAAAUGGAGUCCGCCCAGUCUAGUGGACAUCUCUCAGGAUUUGUAGAUAAAGCUCUAAAGUUGUUAGAUUUAAGGCAAGUAAUGAUGGAAGUCGAAACGUCGGUAAUGUCAAAAGUGUCCUGUACAGCGUGCAAGGUUGGCGCUGGGCUUCUUCAGCAUUACACCAAGGUCGGCAAGAGCGACGAGGAAAUAAUGAACAGUAUUUACCAAUUUUGUGUAUCUCUUAAUAUACAAAGUUCACGUGUAUGUCAAGGAGUGACGUUGCUCUUCGGGGGUGAAGUCAUCUAUGUUUUGAAACAAGUUAAUAUGGGACCAAAUCAGAUUUGUAGCUUCGUGAUCGGCGAUGCAUGCGACGACGCUUAUAAUCCUCUUCACGAAUGGGAAGUUGCAUUCCCGCCGGUGAACAAACCACCUGUUAAACCUCCUAUACCACCUCAAGAAGGUGCGCCGACCUUCAAAGUACUUCAUAUCUCAGAUACCCAUUACGAUCCUUAUUAUCAAGAGGGUGCCAAUGCGGAAUGUAGCGAACCAUUAUGCUGCAGAUUGACCAACGGAGCACCCCUGACUCCGGCCGCAGCUGCUGGCCGAUGGGGUGACUAUAGAAAAUGUGACACCCCUAAAAGAACCGUUGAACAUAUGCUGAAACACAUUGUCGAUACACAUUCUGAUAUAGAUUACAUACUAUGGACCGGUGAUUUGCCACCACACGAUGUAUGGAACCAAACACGAGAAGAAAAUCUGAAUGUUUUGCACGAUACGGUGAACCAGCUCAUUGAAAUGUUUCCUGGAAUACCGAUAUUUCCAGCUCUGGGAAAUCAUGAAAGUGCUCCAGUUAAUAGCUUUCCACCGCCGUUUGUCCCAAAAGAUAACGACAUAUCGUGGUUGUACGAUACACUGGAUAAACAUUGGCGACGUUGGUUACCAGCUGGUGUCUCGCACACUGUUAGACGCGGUGCAUUUUAUUCGGUCCUAGUUCGUCCAGGCUUCAGAAUUCUCUCUGUGAACAUGAAUUAUUGUAACAAUAAAAAUUGGUGGCUGUUAAUAAAUAGCACAGACCCGGUCAGCGAAUUACAGUGGCUGGUGUAUGAAUUACAAGGUGCCGAGAUGAAUGGCGAGAAAGUUCAUAUUAUCGGUCAUAUACCACCUGGACACUCGGACUGUUUGAAAGUGUGGUCUAGAAAUUAUUAUCAAAUCAUAAACCGGUACGAAUCAACAAUCACGGCCCAAUUCUUUGGACACACUCACUACGACGAAUUUGAACUAUUUUAUGAUGUCACUGAUUUAGGAAGAGCUGUCAGUAUAGCUUAUAUAGGGCCAUCGGUUACCCCUUAUUUUGAUCUCAAUCCAGGGUACAGGAUAUACUAUGUUGAUGGUGAUCAUGAGAAAACUACUAGAAUGGUCGUGGAUCACGAAAGUUGGGUGAUGAAUUUAAAGGAAGCGAAUUUGUACGAUUAUCCCAUUUGGCACAAAAUGUACAGCGCACGACAGGCAUAUCAAAUGCCGUCGUUAUUACCUAAAGAUUGGGACUCUUUGAUAGAUAAAAUGAGCAAUGAACCAUCGCUCUUUGAUCUUUAUUAUAAAAAUUAUUACAAAAAUUCUCCUGUAAGACCGACGUGUAACGACGACUGUCGAAAGAGAUUGCUUUGUGAUUUGCGAAGUGGAAGAAGCCACGAUCGCAAAGCGUUGUGUCAGAAUCUCGAGUCCAGGAUAGAUGGUGAAACAAGGACAGGUUGGAGGGCAUGGAUCUACAAUGGACUAGCAUUAUCGUACGUACAGAAAUGGUGGAUUCAUUCUUAUUCCGGCGAUAUCGAAACAAACCGGGUUGACGUUUAAUUUUUAGAUAAGUCUAUUUCACACUUAUUGCUCAAAUAUGGCUGUUACUUAGUGGUUAGUAAAUGAAUACGUGCUUUUAAGUACUAAUACACAUUACACGCAACCGGAGCACUUACCUGAGAAGAAUAAAUAAUCUUUCUGUAUAUAGAUUAAUUAGGAGUAUGUACAAAUUUUCUUUUUUUUUUUUUUUGUUUUCUUUUAAUACUUUGCAUACUCCUAAUAUACUACCUAUUAUUCAAGGCUUUUAAUAAUCAUUUUCUAAGGUAGUGGACACUUCUUUUUGUGGCAAUCGUUAUAUCCGAAUUUUCUUAUUAACUCUCGAGUUCGUUGUUUCCAAAAGAAAAUUAAAUAACAAAUAAGAAAUGAAGGUAACGAUUGUCAAAAAUGUAUUCAUUAUGCGUAUAGGUACAGGAUUUAACUUUUAAAAUAGCUAAAUAUCGUUUCAAUUAUUCCAUUAUAUUAUUAUUACAAUAUCUAUAACUAUUAACCAUAUUUUAUAACACUCUAAUCUUGAUGACAAUACUUAGAAAUUAAGUUCUUAAACGUGUUGCAACAAUUAUUGUAAAUUAACUAAUCUGCACAUUGUAAAUAUGUACACAAUUCACUAUCUGUUUAAUUCAACAUUUGUAUUUCCUUGUCUUGUUCCGAUAAAAAUGAUUUAUGUAACCCACCAGAGAAGGUGGCAACAAACUGUAGUAAGUUAGAAGUUUCUGUCUGUUGAUGAUUAAUGAAUGCAUGCCAACAUGCUGUCUCAAUGAAGAUAUUACAUCAGAUACAUAUCUUAUUCAAAUGUUCCAGAGGUUUCCUUGCUAAGCAAGUAGCUUCAUAAUUUUUGCAACAGAAAUCCAGCGCGCAGCAUUAGUAUAUAUUUUAUUCCAGAUUAUACCAAAGAGUAUGAUAUUAAAAAAAAAAAAAGAUUUUGUUAUUAAUAUAGAUGCAGUGCAAACGCUUUAGUUUACUAUGAAAUAUUGCCGUUACGAUAGAGAUAUUAAAUGUAAUUAAAUUAAUUCUUGUACAUUUUUAAAACUGUUAUAAAUUUAUAAAAAUCCGUGGUAAAAAUUAUUUACCUUAUUAGUUUUAAGUAACACAUACUGUAAAUAUAUUAAGUUGUGUGGAUAAAUUAAAAUGAGCACCCUGUACAUACUGCACUAGCAGAUAUCACCCCAAGAUUUAAUAACAGAUAAUUAUUUAUGGUGGUGGAAGCUGUAACAUGGUGGUUGAAAUCUAAACCCUCUGAUGCUAUCAUACACCGCUUAUAACAGAGUAUCUGUUUUUAUGGCAAUUCCUCGAUUUGCGUACAAUUUACCUAAGUACGUUUUAGGCCUAGGAUAAAUGAAGAUGUGAUUGAACGGGUAACCGAUUUGUAAGUUACGUGUAAAUUUUCAUUUGACAUUCUUGUAUAUGAUUCAACCCCUGUACGACGAUUACAGGGUCACUUUGAUCUGGUCACUAAAUUCAAACAAAGAAAAUUAAAAUUAAAUUCAAAAUUUUCAUAUAAUGACUUUUUAACAUUGCUUUUUAAAAUACAGUGACAAUCAAGAGGAAAUUUAAUUACUUGUUAAGAUAAAUGUAAAUAGUUACUAUAUAAAAUGAGAAGAGUGUGUCAGAAUGUUGCUUCAUAUUUAUUCGAAAUUUAUUUUCAUAAAUAUUAUUCAAUUAAUUACUGUAAAUUGAACAUAUUUUAUAGUAUGUGUAAAACACUCGUCGUGUAUUUCAUAUGAUGAGCGAUGAAAGUUAUUUAUUAAAAAGAAUAUAUAUUUGUAAAGAAUUUGUAUAAUAGUGGUAUGUGUGUUUAUAAAUGAAAGAUCUUUUGAAGCAUUGUAUAAAGUUACUGUUAUUAUGAAAAAAUAGAUAAGAUAGAGAUAUAUAGAAGAUUUAAUAUUAAAAAAUUGUGUUUGCAAUUUUUAUGAUUUCGCAGUGAAAAAGCUUGCAUAGAGAGUAAGGCUCUGCCAUUCAAGCUCCUACGUCGCCAUUUUGUUGAUUUUUUUCACGUCUAUAAUCUUAAAAUUGUAGACGAAAGUUCAUUUAAUAAAUAUCUAUUAAAACA